ACAAAAUUUGUAUCAACACAUUGUGAAUCACAAAACAGACCAAGAAAUGGAAAUAAAGACUAAAAAUACAUGCUGCUUAGAAGACAAAAAUAUAAGAGACAUGAGGUCAUGGGUAUCUAUUGUGCUCAGGUAAGCACUAAGGGUAACACACCUAUUAUUUCAUGAAGUACAGCAGCAGGGCAGGGCUCCUGGGUGCCUGUGAGCCUCUGAGUCACAAUCUUUCCUUCCCUGCACCUCACUGGUAUGGCCCAUAGGGAAAGGUCCAUGAGGCCAUCUGCAAGGUGCACUCCAAGCCAUCUGCUGAAGAAAACAGCUCCUAUACUCCUUUGUGCACUAAGUUACUACAGCUUGAGCCAAAUUCAAGGAGUGAAAUGAGCCAUGCUAUCCUGGUCACCUAAGCCAGAGUCACUGGUGGGAUGGGCUGGACAUGAGAAAGGCCAAAAACCACUGCUGGACUUUGGCCGAGCUCUUUCCCGUCAGGUGCUUCGUAUGGAGUAGUGACAAACAGACUCAAUCAGAUCCUCUUUCUUAGAAAAAAGGAAUUCCCAGAGUGCAUAAGUCUGCAGGUGGAUCCCAGAGCUUGUAAAGAUAUCAUUCUUCCUCUGUGAGACCUACUCUCUAGUCAACUGCUGAUGUAUGUGGGACCAAGAGUGACCAUACCACCGAGAAGGAGGUGAUAACUGAGCCAUCUGACAUGCCCCUGAAUCCCAACCUUUAUCACAACAAAGAUGAUUGGAUGAAGAAUUGGCAAGUUAUGAGUACGCAUUGAAUUCCUACUGGGAAUCAGGUUCUAGUAAUGAUGUGACAGAAUUGAGCUACCUUGUCUCUGUCCUUGAAAGCUUUGUGCCUCAGUGAUUUACGCAGAGCCUUGCACAUGUCCUAGAAGGUGCUACAAAUACUCAAGAGAGUGAAGAUAAUGAGUGGUAGAUCUAAUGGUCCAAUAGCCACUUUGGCACAGGGAGUGGAAAGGAGCCAACCCAAGGUACCGAAUCUCUGCCUGAGUUCUUGGGUCUCUGAUCCUCCCUUCCCUUCUUUGCCUUUCUUCUCGAUCCCCCCCCCCCCAACCUGGUUUUCCACUCUUCUCCCAAGGGCAUGGUUGCUCUUCACCACCUUCACUCUUCGUAUCUCUAAUCUUCACUACUGUACCAACAGGCCAUACCCCUGUGUGCAUGGCAAGCACCCCAAAGGACAAGAUCUGAUUGGUUGGACCUCUCUCCCUCUUGGAUACAACGUCUCCACUCGGAAGAACUCUAGAAACAGUCCUUUGGAUGGUCGGCCAUCGCAUCAGAUGGCCCAUUCCUGGGUGAGCGAGUGUGGUUACAUUUAUCAUGGUAAAAACCACUUGUGAAUGUUUUUACAAUCCCAAGAAAAAGUAACUGUCUUCAAAACGAGGCUAAGUAUAUAUGGCAGGAUGUGGUACGCAGAAUAAUAUCCUCCAAAGAAGUCCACAUUCUAAUCCCCAGAAUUUAUGGAUAUGUUAUCCUACAUGGCAAAGGGGAGCUUGCAAAUUUGACUAGCUUAAGGAUCUUGAGAUGGGAAGAUUAUACUGAAUUAUCUGGGUGAACCCAGUAAGAAAGGCACACAGAGAUUUUAAAAAAGCUACCCUCUGGCUUUGAGGAUGGAGGAGGAGGCCAUGAGCCAAGGUAUGCAGGCCACUUAUAGAAGCUGAAAAAGAGAGGGAAUGAACUCUCCUUCUAGAACCUCUAGAAGGAACAGAAUCUUGCCAACACCUUGAUUUUAACCCAGUGAGACUGUGUCAGACUUCUCAUUUCCAAAACUAUAGACAGUAAAUUUGUGUUAUUUUAAGCCAUUACUUUUUCUUGGAAGCAACAGGAAACUAAUAGGCCCUCAAAACAUUCUCUCUGAAAACACCUCAUAGUGAUUAAAACAAAAACAAAAACAAACAAACGAAAAAAACAGCUUCAGAGGGAAUUAUAGAUUCAUUCAUUUUUACUCCAUUCUGGGCAUAAAUUAUCUGCUACUUUCCUACAUAUUCACACAGACUUUCCCAUAAUCUGUUCUUUAUUGGCUUGGCUGUCUACUAGCCAGAAAACUUUGAUGUCACUUAAAGUUUGGUUGGACUGACCCUGCCUGUCCCUACCCAUCCUUCUUACACCUGCAGGGACUGGGCAUAUAAUCCAAACUUGGCCAUAGUUGUUGACCCAGGGAUAAACACAGAGCACAAAGUUAAGAUUCUCUGGCAGUCGUGGAAGAAGACACUCUUCAAGCUGGCGGCAUAUGAGCGCUGGGCUUUAUGUGAGCACCAUACUGCUGUAUAUAACGAGCCAUCUGAAAAUGGAGACGUGGAGCCCUGACUUUAUCGUUUUAGCUCCUAGACCGAGCUCUGCCUGAUGUUCGUCUCAAUCUUGGCCUUUCUCAUUAAAUGGGUUCCACAUUUAGCCCAUCAACACAUCCUGCUAGCUUUGUGUUCAAAAUACAUCCAGAACCCAAGCUCUUGUCAGCACUGUGCUGCUGCUCACAGCACAGCCAGUCAUCUCCCUGGGUCCCUUUGGCAGCCUAUUACCUGGGCCUCCUGCCUCUGCCACUGCCUCUCUUCACUCUGUUCUUAGCCGGGCAGCCAGGACAACAUUCUUGAAAUGUCACUCAGAUCACGUCACUCCUGCAUCGUCUCCCCUCUUCACUCCGAGUCAAAGUCGGAGUCCUUGCAGUGGUCCACAGGAGCCUCUAUCAGUGGCUCUCCCCUGCCUCUUAUCUUUGUGACUUCCCAACCUUCAGGUCUUUACUCAGAUGCCAUCCAUGUUGCCUCCGGCUUUAGCUUUCUUCACAGCGCUCUUAUGAUCUACAUUUUAUUCCUUUGUGCUAAAAGACACAUUUGGUGCCUUGCUACAAAUUACACAUUUGUCUGUCAGCACAUUUGGUGCCUUGCUACAAAUUACAAAACACUGACCUUUCCUCCAGGCUAACAUUGCAGCCCACUGAGAUUUAAGGCUUGGUGAUAGAGUUCCAAUCUGCUUUCAGCCCCGCUUGCCCUCUCCACUGGGCACUAUUGAGCUUUGCACAGACUGUACAGUGUGUGUGUGUGUGUGUAUCAGCCUGUAUCUUUUAUUGUCUGUUUCCCCCCUUAGAAUGUAUACUCCAUGAGAACAAAGAUACUUGGUUUUUUAAAAUAUUUUGUUAACUAUUGUAUCCCCAGGUUUUAGAACAAUGUCUGGUACAUGGUAGGAGCUCAAGAAAUGAUUGCUAAAACAAUUAAUAUGUUUUUAUGUUUUCUUUUUUGCUUGAGCUAGCCUGAAUUGGUUUUCUGUCACAACCAAGAGUUCUAAUAUAUCCACGCAAUGCAAUGCUCAAGUAUUUAUGUUGAACAGCAGCAAUGACAUAAAUUGCUCUCCUCCUGAACAACUCAUUUCAUGUUUGGAUAUUUAUGCUUUUGUGAAAAUUCUUUCUGAUAUUGAACUGAAAUCUACCUCUCUGAAAAUUUCAUACAUCUCUUACUUACAGAUUAGGCAGCACAGAAGAGAUUUAAUUUUUCUAUCAUAUGACAACCCCUCAAAUAUUAGAAGGUAGCUAUUAUUACCUUUGUGUCUUCUCUUUUCUUGAUUAAAAGCCCCCAAUUUCUUCCACUGUUUCUCAUACAAUAUUGUUUUAAGAAAUAUUAUCCUCCAGGGCACCUAGGUGGCUCGGUCGGUUAAGUGUCUGCUCUUGAUUUUGGCUCAGGUCAUGAUCUCACAAUUUGUGAGUUCGAGCCCAGCUCUGGGCUCUGCACCGACAGCAUGGAACCUGCUUGGGAUUCUCUGUCUCCCUCUCUCUCUGUCUGUCUCUGCCCACCCACUCUCACUCUCUAUCUUUCUCUCUCAAAAAAAAAAAAAAAAAAGAAAGAAACUAAGAAAAAAAAAAGAAAUCUUACUUUCCUUGUUAACCCUAUUUGAAUGUCAUCAGGGUUUGUUUGUUUGUUUGUUUGUUUGUUUGUUUUGUGUGUGUGUGUGUGUGUGUGUGUGUGUGUGUGUGUGUGUGUGUUCCUCCAAGUCAGAACUGAAUGUAACACUCUGGGGAUUCAACCAGUACAGGGUAGAGCAAAUUUAUCACCUCUGAUCUUUAAGGUAUUCUACUUUCAUUAAUACAGUCAAUCUAUGGUCAAAUUAACAUUUGGGGAAAGUCAAAACAUAAUAAUGAUUUACAUUGAACUUACCAUGAAUAAAAGCCCCGAAGUCUUUGUCA
ensembl:lncRNA